GAGGAGGAGGAGGAGGAAGAAAGGAAAAGGAAAAAAGAAAGAUGGAGUGGCUUCUCCCUGAAAAAGGCUUGUGGGCGCUCGAAAAGCUGGGAGUUAGCACUUGCUUAAGUGUGAUCUUGAUUAAGCGGGAGAAGUUAUCCCUGAAAUGGCAGAUCAAUGAACAUGGAGAGUCAGCAUUAGGUGCCAAAAUGCCAACUGGUACGUGAGGCACAUGGUCGUGGUGGCUGGACAAGUGUGCCUGCGUUCUUGCAUUGAUGGACCCACAGAACCUUUUCUGUGUGACAUUAUUGGAUCGAUAAUUGAUCAGGGAGUAUCAUUUUUGGAUCCUUCAUCAUUCGUAAUCUUAAUUUUUUUCCCGAGUGCGGCUCAAAAGAAAAGUUUAGUUUUUGGUGUAAGAAUACUAUUAUCUGCUCUUUUUGUUGCUUGGCUUCACAUAUCAGAUAACAUGAUUGGACCUUACAAAAUCCCUUAUGGUGCAAAUUUUCUCCUAAUGGUUAGGCUGCCCUCGUAUGUUUUAGUCACUUUCGACUAUUUAUUCGAUCGCUGUGUUCAUCUUACCUCAGAUUGCACUUGGAGCGCAAGGGAACAAUAGAUUCGGCCGAUGUCUCUGCAGCCCGGAGCAAAUCAAGUGAAAAGCAGUACCGCAUGAAAGUAACUUCACCUUUUGGUGUCAUUAUUGUAUUACUGAAGCACAAGGACAGAGAAAGGCGGAGCAUUGGAAGCCCCAGGAUAUUGAAUUCAGUCAAGUGGCUGCUGCUGACAGUGAUCUGCAGCAAAAGAAUUCCACAUGUUCAAUCGCUCUGGUCUCUGGACAAGAAAAUACCAAGUUGGCCAGCCACAAGCGCCUCUCUGGCUGGAUCCAUCUCACGCAGUCCAAAUUCUUCCAGCAGAAAAGAAGCCUCGCCGCCAGCAUAUCGCCUCGCCGAAAGAAGGAAGCUCAUGGCGCCGCCAUUGGAGGAUUGACAUGCUUGCUCGGCAAAAUCCUUAUCAGCAAAGUUUCCAGAAAAGGAAAAAAGGUGGAUCAGAAAAAAAGAAGAGAGAUGAUGGACCUCUCUCUUCUAAAAGCAGAGGAGGGGUGCCCAAUUUUUCGCUGGAUGAAGGCAACAGCAGCUGCGAAUAUGAGGUGGUGAUUGGAAACGAGCAACCGGCAACACCAACACCAGCACCGGCCAUGCUAAAGCCGUAUUGUCAUCUUAUGCCGCCAAAGUCAUAGCAACCUACAGAUUUCUCACUUAAUCCACGUCAUCCAGCAUAUGGCACGUCAAUUCAAGCAAUUUCAGGCAGCCCCGGAAUAUUUGAGAAGGAUGUGGAGGACAAACAAGAUGUACUAAAGCCAUACGUCACAUAAAGCCAUAUUUGAGAGCAUCUUCCAUUGCCAGCUCCAUCGUGGAUGCAACUGCAUUUUCCUAUCCGGUGUGCCACCUCAGAUCGAGGCGUCCAGGCCCCACCUGGAAUACAGGCCUCCUUUGGAACGUAGCAAUUUUAUUCACGGUUACGAAUUUUUCGAGAACCGAUUCAAAAUUAUUGUAAAUUAAAAUUCUUGCAAAAUGUCGCCAAUGCUUGUUGGUCUAUGAACUUUUUUCUGGUUCUACAAAGAUUUAUUUGCUUCUUGUGAAA